rnacentral:misc_RNA from 1 species
GCAAACUUGGUCAUUUAGAGGAAGUAAAAGUCGUAACAAGGUCUCCGUUGGUGAACCAGCGGAGGGAUCAUUACAGAGUUUUCUAAACUCCCAAACCCAUGUGAAUUUACCAUUGUUGCCUCGGCGGAACCUACCCUGUAGCGAGCUACCCGGUAGCGAACUCCGCCGGCGGACCUUCAAACUCUUGUUUAUUACAGUAAAUCUGAGCGUCUUAUUUUAAUAAGUCAAAACUUUCAACAACGGAUCUCUUGGUUCUGGCAUCGAUGAAGAACGCAGC